rnacentral:rRNA from 1 species
AUUGAACGCUGGCGGCAAGCCUAACACAUGCAAGUCGAACGAGUGGCGGACGGGUGAGUAAUGUCUGGUCAACUGCCUGAUGGAGGGGGAUAACUACUAGAAACGGUAGCUAAUACCGCAUCCCAUCGGGUCUGCCCUGAUGGGGUUAGCUAGUAGGUGGGGUAAAGGCUCACCUAGGCGACGAUCCCUAGCUGGUCUGAGAGGAUGACCAGCCACACUGGAACUGAGACACGGUCCAGACUCCUACGGGAGGCAGCAGUGGGGAAUAUUGCACAAUGGGCGCAAGCCUGAUGCAGCCAUGCCGCGUGUAUGAAGAAGGCCUUCGGGUUGUAAAGUACUUUCAGCGGGGAGGCGUUACCCGCAGAAGAAGCACCGGCUAACUCCGUGCCAGCAGCCGCGGUAAUUC